CACGGGGGGAGCAAGCGUUGUUCGGAUUCAUUGGGCGUAAAGGGCUCGUAGGCCGCUCUGUAAGUCGGAAGUGAAAGACCACGGCUCAACCGUGGAACCGCUUUCGAAACUGUGGAGCUUGAGGCCGGGAGAGGAGAUUGGAAUUCCUGGUGUAGCGGUGAAAUGCGUAGAUAUCAGGAGGAACACCCGUGGCGAAGGCGAAUCUCUGGACCGGUUCUGACGCUGAUGAGCGAAAGCCAGGGGAGCAAACGGG
rnacentral:rRNA from 1 species